AUUGAACGCUGGCGGCAUGCCUUACACAUGCAAGUCGAACGGCAGCACGGGAGCAAUCCUGGUGGCGAGUGGCGAACGGGUGAGUAAUAUAUCGGAACGUGCCCAGUAGUGGGGGAUAGCCCGGCGAAAGCCGGAUUAAUACCGCAUGAGACCUGAGGGUGAAAGCGGGGGAUCGCAAGACCUCGCGCUAUUGGAGCGGCCGAUAUCAGAUUAGCUAGUUGGUGGGGUAAAGGCCUACCAAGGCAACGAUCUGUAGUUGGUCUGAGAGGACGACCAGCCACACUGGGACUGAGACACGGCCCAGACUCCUACGGGAGGCAGCAGUGGGGAAUUUUGGACAAUGGGCGCAAGCCUGAUCCAGCAAUGCCGCGUGCAGGAA
rnacentral:rRNA from 1 species